AGAGUUUGAUCCUGGCUCAGAGCGAACGCUGGCGGCGUGCUUAACACAUGCAAGUCGAGUGCGCAGCUUUCUGUAGCAAUACAGGGAGUGGGCGCACGGCGCACGGGUGAGUAACACGUGGGUAACCUGCCCUUGGAUGGGGAAUAACCCCGCGAAAGCGGGGCUAAUACCGCAUAACAUUCCGGAGACCUUGGUUUCCGGACUCAAAGCCGUAAGGCGUCCGAGGAGUGGCCCGCGUACGAUUAGCUAGUUGGCGAGGUAAUGGCUCACCAAGGCUUUGAUCGUUAGCCGGUCUGAGAGGAUGGCCGGCCACACUGGAACUGAGACACGGCCCAGACUCCUACGGGAGGCAGCAGUAGGGAAUCUUGCGCAAUGGGCGAAAGCCUGACGCAGCCAUGCCGCGUGAAUGAUGAAGGUCUUAGGAUUGUAAAAUUCUUUCAGCGGGGACGAUAAUGACGGUACCCGCAGAAGAAGCCCCGGCUAACUUCGUGCCAGCAGCCGCGGUAAU
rnacentral:rRNA from 1 species